rnacentral:lncRNA from 1 species
UAUUAUCGUUCUUAAGAACUUAAGCCACUAAGAUAGAAGCCACUACAGAAAGAACUCUUUUUUGAAAACUUGUUUUAUUUGAAUCGACAGAAGUUUUUAGCACUAGAUCUAGAGCUGGAUUCCUACCCAGUCUUUGACUCAAAUGCAUCCUCAUCCCUUGAGACUCGCAGAUUCAUCAACUACAAUGACAGCUUAAGGAUUCCUUCAAACAUGCAUCCAUCAUCUUCCUAAAAUUGGUUCAUUC